AAGCAACCCGGAAUAAGAAUUAUGCAACAGAAUUCUAAUAGAACACUCUCAACUGUCAAUAUCAUGUACAGAUCAUGUCUACCAGUGGCAUUACUGAAGCAUCCUGAGCAAUGAUGUCACCAGCAUCGAAUCGAUGAUGUCAGUGAACUGUAGAAGCAAGAUCUGUGUUGUUUCUAUCAAACAUUCUGAAGAGCCACGGCAUUGUGAAAAACAAAUCCCAAGUGUCUCUGCUGUGUGCCUACUGGUAAGGUAAAGAAAUCUGUCUGAAGAGUGGAAUCUUGACAUAGACCCAGCCAUUCUGAGGAAGGCCAGAUUGAAGCCAAUCUCCACCAGAUUGAAGGGAGCAGCUGGAUCAUGGGAUGCUAGUGCUUGGAACUAGAAGGAGAGCUCAUCUGAGACAUGCUGAGUGGUGACACUUCUGAGCGGAUUGCAAGAACGAAGAAACGAAGAAACAUCUUGACUCCUUACAUACACUGCAAGUCCCUUGAGUGAAAAAAUGACUCUCCUUAUCCUGAAAAUCUGAAAAUACUACCUCAAAAAUCAACUCAAUACAUGUUUUGUGAUAAUGUGAUUAUGUGCUUUGUGCCAGUUUUGUGAAUCAUGUCUUACAGAUAAUGGUGUUGAUAUCGAUGGUAAUGUUUCUGGUAAAGGAGCUUUGGCUCCAAAAAAGAAAAAGAAAAGAAGAUCCUACCUCAUGUGCAGGUCUACUCAGCUAUGGCUCAGGAGGGCAUUUGGGGUAAAAUCCUUUGUUUUUUGGAUAAAAGAAGAAAGACCCAGGAAUUACAUAUAUAUGCCUCUGUAAAUAUGUCUAAGGGUGAGCAACAUUCACUCAAAACAAGGAAGGUUUAAUGAAUGUCUGCUGUGUGUCAAAGGAUUCUCAAGCAGUCACAUAUUUAAUCCACCAAAUUACUCAGGGUAAUUUUACACCAGCUUUUCACUUGAAACUGAGACCCAGGGAUGUUGUGCCUUCCUGAGGUUAUUCUGCGAGGAAGGGCUGGAGUUUGCAGCCAGAGCCUCUGUCUCUGUUUCAAAGCUCACUUUGCAACUCCAUAGUUGCCAAAACUGUGGGAUGCAAUCGACAGUUCAUUCUGAUGGAGAGUGAGUCCAAAAAAUAUUUGCUUAAGACAGAAAUCCAGAUUUGUUCAAAACAGCAAUAUCCUCUUCAGCCAGUGGUUUGCACAGACAUCUUUGCUGCCAUCCAGGCAAAUCUGAGCACAUACCUUCCCGGUGCUUCCCUGCCCUGAGCCAACGCUGUCUUUAUUUGACAAGGAAGGGCCGGACAGCCUGCAGCCAAGACUAGGGGACCCAACACUGAGUUUCUCUGCUCCCGGGCCCCAGAGAAGUCACUCAACUAUAGAGCUGGAGGGACCGCCAGCCUCUGGGAAAUGCUGCUCUUUAACCAAACCAGAAAGAUCAUUGUCUGCCUGUUUCCUGACAGUCAGAUAAGGAAACGCCACUGAUUCCCUUGAAGAGUCAUCCUGGUCAAUCAGAAAACUUUUCUCUAAAUGGCACCAGCAGCAAAAACAGAAAGGAUAAUUAUUAACCUUAACAUAGGGAUUCUAGAUGGCAAUCUGUUCUUUCAUCUCAAUUAAGGGGAAAUGGCAGAGACAGAAGUCAAGAUAUGAAAAACGGAAGAGGUACUGCCUGUGGGUGCUUCAGCUUAGCAUUUCAAUGGUUUUAGAGCUGGAUCUCUGUUAGGCAAAACUGAGGUCUCUUCUCAGAAGGUGGACUAUCAUUUCAGUAACAGGAUGUUGAGUGCUUCUCUCUGAUCCCUUGAGUACAUGUAUGGCAAGUACGUCUCAUUACACAAGAAUAAGACUAAUAGAAUUGCUUCCAAUAUUUUUUGGAUGGAUAUUGUGGGAGGCCAUUGAGAAACAGAAGCCAGAUUUCACACAUAUUUAAUUUUAAAACACUAUUUAAAUAGUAUUAAGCUUUUCCAUGCUUCCAUAUUAGCUUAAAAUUCAUAAUGUCAUGAUUCAAAACAAUUUUCUCUAAUUUAGUGAUUCAAAAUACGUACUUAUUAAAGGAAAUGUAUUGUGCAUUGACCUUUUUAAGUUUUCUUUCUUGGAUCUUAAUCACAGAAAAAUAAUUAAUAAGCAGAACCUUUGCCCAGCAGUCAGUUCUUUCACUGUUAGCAGUAGAAUCAAACCUGUCUCUGUGUUUCCCUUGAUACACCAACAGUAACACCUAACUAGAGCUAUACUGACUGCUUAAGGAUUCCUGAAUACGAAUUGUAUUUUCUCUAUUUUAUUAUAAAUAUUUUGAGGUAAAUAGCUGAGGCUUUGGAAUCAAACAGAGCCGAAGUCAAACUACUAACUUACUGUAUGUUCUUGAGCAAAUUAUUUUUCCUCCCUGAGCCUCAGUUUUCUCAUCUGUUAAAUAGGGAUAAUAAUAAAUACUUCAUAAGACUGUCGUUGAAGAAUUCAUUAGCUAAUACAUGUAAUGUAGGUGUUCAAUGAAAGGUACCUUGUUUUUAUCCCUGUUGUUGUUAUUAACUUCCUUUUUGUAUUAAUUUUUUUCUGACAGAAAAUAAAUUCUUAUUCCUACUUAUAUUUUUAACCAUUGAAAUUCCACCUGUUAUCCAAUGUCCUCUCUCAGGAGCCUUCCCCAGUCCUCUCUGCUAGAAUUGAAUUAUCCAUUAUCUCUAACCCUAUGCCUUGUGUAGCACUUGCCACUUAUUACACUGUGCUCUAGUUUCUUUUUGCACAAAUCUCAUCAUCCUAAUUAGAAUGAAAGCCUCAGGAGGGCAGGAAGCAAAAUGAUUUUUCCUGUAAAAUACCUUUUGAAUGUCUGUUGAAUGAAUAUCGAAGACUUCCCUAUUUCGUUUUGCAUUAUUUGUUGAAUAAAAACAGAAAUGAUU